AUAUCAAUAAGCGGAGGAAAAGAAACCAACAGGGAUUGCCCCAGUAACGGCGAGUGAAGCGGCAACAGCUCAAAUUUGAAAUCUGGCCCCCCUCGGGGUCCGAGUUGUAAUUUGCAGAGGAUGCUUCGGCGUCGGCCCCGGGCCAAGUCCCCUGGAACGAGGCGCCCUAGAGGGUGAGAGCCCCGUACCCAUCCGGGUGUCCUUCGCCGUGUGAAGCUCCUUCGACGAGUCGAGUUGUUUGGGAAUGCAGCUCCAAGCGGGAGGUAUAUUUCUUCUAAGGCUAAAUACCGGCCAGAGACCGAUAGCGCACAAGUAGAGUGAUCGAAAGAUGAAAAGCACUUUGGAAAGAGAGUUAAAAAGCACGUGAAAUUGUUGAAAGGGAAGCUCUUGCCGCCAGACUUGCCGCGGUUGCUCAGCCGCCCCCCGGGGCGGCGCACUCUCCCGUCGGCAGGCCAGCGUCGGUUCGGGCGGCCGGACAAAGGCCCCGGGAAUGUAGCACCCCCCGGGGUGUGUUAUAGCCCGGGGUGCAAUGCGGCCAGCCCGGUCCGAGGCACGCGUUCGCGAGGACGCUGGCGUAAUGACCGCAAGCGACCCGUCUUGAAACACGGACCAAGGAGUCUAACAUCUAUGCGAGUGUUUGGGCGUCAAACCCACGCGCGCAAUGAAAGUGAACGGAGGUGGGAACCCCCUCGAGGGGCGCACCAUCGACCGAUCCUGAUGUCCUCGGAUGGAUUUGAGUAAGAGCAUAGCUGUUGGGACCCGAAAGAUGGUGAACUAUUCCCGGAUAGGGUGAAGCCAGAGGAAACUCUGGUGGAGGCUCGCAGCGGUUCUGACGUGCAAAUCGAUCGUCAAAUCUAGGAAUAGGGGCGAAAGACUAAUCGAACCAU
rnacentral:rRNA from 1 species